AGUGAACGCUGGCGGUAGGCCUAACACAUGCAAGUCGAACGGCAGCACAGUAAGAGCUUGCUCUUACGGGUGGCGAGUGGCGGACGGGUGAGGAAUACAUCGGAAUCUACUUUUUCGUGGGGGAUAACGUAGGGAAACUUACGCUAAUACCGCAUACGACCUUCGGGUGAAAGCAGGGGAUCUUCGGACCUUGCGCGAUUGAAUGAGCCGAUGUCGGAUUAGCUAGUUGGCGGGGUAAAGGCCCACCAAGGCGACGAUCCGUAGCUGGUCUGAGAGGAUGAUCAGCCACACUAGAACUGAGACACGGUCCAGACUCCUACGGGAGGCAGCAGUGGGGAAUAGUGGACAAUGGGCGCGAGCCUGAUCCAGCCAUACCGCGUAGGUGAAGAAGGCCUUCGGGUUGUAAAGCCCUUUUGUUGGGAAAGAAAAGCAGCAGGUUAAUACCCCGCUGUUCUGACGGUACCCAAAGAAUAAGCACCGGCUAACUUCGUG
rnacentral:rRNA from 1 species